GUUUAACAAAAACAUGUCUUUUUGAUUAUAAUUUAAAGUCUAACCUGCCCAAUGAUGGAUGAAUUAAAUGGCCGCAGUAUACUGACUGUGCAAAGGUAGCAUAAUCAUUAGUUUUUUAAUUGAAAGCUGGAAUGAAAGGUUGGAUGAAAAAAUAGCUGUCUCUAUUUAAAUUUAUUAGAAUUUUAUUUUUGAGUAAAAAAGCUCAAAUAUUUGUAAAAGACGAGAAGACCCUAUAGAGUUUUAUAUAUUUAUUUUUAUAAAAAUUUAGUAUUUUUUACUUUAUUAAUUUUAAAUGUAUUUAGUUGGGGUGAUUAAAAAAUUAGAUAAACUUUUUUUUAAUUUUUACAUUAAUUAAUGAUUUUUUGAUCCUUAAUAAAGAUUAAAAGAUUAAAUUACCUUAGGGAUAACAGCGUAAUUUUUUUUAGAGUUCUUAUCGAAAAAAGAGAUUGCGACCUCGAUG
rnacentral:rRNA from 1 species